GAUGAAGAACGUGGCGAAAUGCGAUAAGUAAUGUGAAUUGCAGAAUUCAGUGAAUCAUCGAAUCUUUGAACGCACAUUGCGCCCCCUGGUAUUCCGGGGGGCAUGCCUGUUCGAGCGUCAUUUCACCACUCAAGCCUCGCUUGGUAUUGGGCAACGCGGUCCGCCGCGUGCCUCAAAUCGACCGGCUGGGUCUUCUGUCCCCUAAGCGUUGUGGAAACUAUUCGCUAAAGGGUGUUCGGGAGGCUACGCCGUAAAACAACCCCAUUUCUAAGGUUGACCUCGGAUCAGGUAGGGAUACCCGCUGAACUUAAGCAUAUCAAUAAGCGGAGGA
rnacentral:misc_RNA from 1 species